GUGCUUGCUUAAGCAGCACAUAUAUUAAAAAUGGGAGAUACAGAGAUUAGCAUGGCUUUUGUGCAAGGAUGACAGGCAAAUUCAUGAAGCGUUCCAUAUUUUU